UCCUGGCUCAGAUUGAACGCUGGCGGCAGGCUUAACACAUGCAAGUCGAGCGGAGAGAGGUAGCUUGCUACUGAUCUUAGCGGCGGACGGGUGAGUAAUGCUUAGGAAUCUGCCUAUUAGUGGGGGACAACAUUUCGAAAGGAAUGCUAAUACCGCAUACGCCCUACGGGGGAAAGCAGGGGAUCUUCGGACCUUGCGCUAAUAGAUGAGCCUAAGUCGGAUUAGCUAGUUGGUGGGGUAAAGGCCUACCAAGGCGACGAUCUGUAGCGGGUCUGAGAGGAUGAUCCGCCACACUGGGACUGAGACACGGCCCAGACUCCUACGGGAGGCAGCAGUGGGGAAUAUUGGACAAUGGGCGCAAGCCUGAUCCAGCCAUGCCGCGUGUGUGAAGAAGGCCUUAUGGUUGUAAAGCACUUUAAGCGAGGAGGAGGCUACUUUAGUUAAUACCUAGAGAUAGUGGACGUUACUCGCAGAAUAAGCACCGGCUAACUCUGUGCCAGCAGCCGCGGUAAU
rnacentral:rRNA from 1 species